UACGGAGGGUGCAAGCGUUAUCCGGAUUCACUGGGUUUAAAGGGUGCGUAGGUGGGCAGGUAAGUCAGUGGUGAAAUCUCCGGGCUUAACCCGGAAACUGCCAUUGAUACUAUCUGUCUUGAAUACCGUGGAGGUGAGCGGAAUAUGUCAUGUAGCGGUGAAAUGCUUAGAUAUGACAUAGAACACCUAUUGCGAAGGCAGCUUACUACGCAUAUAUUGACGCUGAGGCACGAAAGCGUGGGGAUCAAACAGG
rnacentral:rRNA from 1 species